rnacentral:sRNA from 1 species
GCCAGGCAUGGUGGCUCAUGCCUGUAAUCCCAACACUUUGGGAGGCUGAGGCAGGUGGAUCACCUGAGGUCAGGAGUUCAAGACUAGCCUGACCAACAUGGAGAAACCCCGUCUCUA